CCUACGGGAGGCAGCAGUAGGGAAUAUUGCUCAAUGGGGGAAACCCUGAAGCAGCAACGCCGCGUGGAGGAUGAAGGUUUUCGGAUUGUAAACUCCUUUUGUUAGAGAAGAUAAUGACGGUAUCUAACGAAUAAGCACCGGCUAACUCCGUGCCAGCAGCCGCGGUAAUACGGAGGUUGCAAGCGUUACUCGGAAUCACUGGGCGUAAAGAGCGCGUAGGCGGGAUAGAAAGUCAGAUGUGAAAUCCUAUGGCUUAACCAUAGAACUGCAUUUGAAACUGUUAUUCUAGGGUAUGGAGGGGUUAGGUGAAAUCUUGGUGUAGGGGGUAAAACCGU
rnacentral:rRNA from 1 species